rnacentral:lncRNA from 1 species
UUGGGGUGGUUGAACCGCCGGCCGUGGUGGGCCUAGGGUUCGUAGAUGACAAGUGCAUUGAUUGCUGAGUGAACCGGUGGUCAGAAAGAGCCAUACGCUUUGAUGGUUCAGUGAUCCGGAGAUCAUCUUGAGCCGUGUUCAUUUAAUGACUGAGUGCAUCGGAGGCCUGAGGGGCUCUCAUGCAUUAAUGAUAGGGUGUGCCGAAUGCCUGCGGAGAUCUUGUGCCUUAAUGACUUCGGGAUGGUGGCAGAUUGAAGUGGAGUCAUGUAUUUAGUUGUCAGAUUCUUUAGAGGGUUAGGCGGAGAUUGGAUAUUUGGCUAAGGCCUUCUGGUCUCGGCCUUCUGUGCUCGGCCUUCUGUGCUCGGCCUGCUGUGCUCGGCUCGCUGGUCUCGGCC